rnacentral:rRNA from 1 species
AACGAACGCUGGCGGCAGGCUUAACACAUGCAAGUCGAACGCCCCGCAAGGGGAGUGGCAGACGGGUGAGUAACGCGUGGGAACAUACCCUUUCCUGCGGAAUAGCUCCGGGAAACUGGAAUUAAUACCGCAUACGCCCUACGGGGGAAAGAUUUAUCGGGGAAGGAUUGGCCCGCGUUGGAUUAGCUAGUUGGUGGGGUAAAGGCCUACCAAGGCGACGAUCCAUAGCUGGUCUGAGAGGAUGAUCAGCCACAUUGGGACUGAGACACGGCCCAAACUCCUACGGGAGGCAGCAGUGGGGAAUAUUGGACAAUGGGCGCAAGCCUGAUCCAGCCAUGCCGCGUGAGUGAUGAAGGCCUUAGGGCUGUAAAGCUCUUUCAGUGGGGAAGAUAAUGACUGUACCCACAGAAGAAGCCCCGGCUAACUCCGUGCCAGCCGCCGCGGUAAUAC